UGCCACAAUUUCCAAGAGGCUGAGGAUCUUUGGUGUCCUUUCCUAAUAUUUUCAUAGCUCAGGUCACUGGGUUUUUGCCAACUUCCUGUUCUUGUAGCCAUUCCUGUAAGGAGACACCAAAGGACAGAACUACAACCACAAGUGGGAGUGAAGACCUGGGACCUUCUCUUUAAUUUUAUCACCUUUCUGAUUUAAGCCAAGGAUGUGUCGUGAUUCCAAAACACACUCAGCAACGAUGUGUUAGGUCUAUUCUGGUUUCUGCAUUGAUUCACAAUGAAUAAAAAUUAAGUUGGUACUAAA